GUGGAAAGGCAAUGUUUUAAAAACCAAAUAUUUACCGCUUUUAUUAACGGACUGUGCAAAUUUAUAGUACACCAUGGCUAUCAACUUACGGAUCAGUGUUAUCUCUUUAGGAAUUCUGCUAUUAAUGUUUUAUGUUUCAGGAUCUGAAUGUAAACCAAUUCAGAAUACCUUUGGUUCAAUUACACAUUUUAGUGAUAAAGAACCAAAUGGAUACACGCAAUAUUUCCGAAAGGCACUCAUGGAUGCAAGCCACGUUUUAGACAAUAUGAUACAAAAGGGCAAAAUGACCAUAAUGGAAUUACCGUUCCAAGGCUGGGUUGUGUGACCGAUUUGUAAC